CGCGUAGGCGGCCGCCUAAGUCAGACGUGAAAUCCCUCGGCUCAACCGGGGAAUUGCGUCUGAUACUGGGUGGCUUGAAUCCGGGAGAGGGAUGCGGAAUUCCAGGUGUAGCGGUGAAAUGCGUAGAUAUCUGGAGGAACACCGGUGGCGAAGGCGGCAUCCUGGACCGGCAUUGACGCUGAGGCGCGAAAGCCAGGGGAGCAAACG
rnacentral:rRNA from 1 species